rnacentral:rRNA from 1 species
GACGAACGCUGGCGGCGUGCUUAACACAUGCAAGUCGAGCGGUAAGGCCCUUUCGGGGGUACGACGAGCGGCGAACGGGUGAGUAACACGUGGGUGGCCUGCCCUCAGCUCUGGGAUAAGCCUGGGAAACCGGGUCUAAUACCGGAUAUGACUCCAUGACGCAUGUUGUGGGGUGGAAAGCCUUGUGCAGCUGAGGAUGGGCCCGCGGCCUAUCAGCUUGUUGGUGGGGUGAGGCCUACCAAGGCGACGACGGGUAGCCGGCCUGAGAGGGCGACCGGCCACACUGGGACUGAGACACGGCCCAGACUCCUACGGGAGGCAGCAGUGGGGAAUCUUGCGCAAUGGGCGAAAGCCUGACGCAGCGACGCCGCGUGAGGGAUGACGGCCU